CUGUAUCCUCCUAACGGAACAUUUUGAUGCAAGCUAACAAAGUCUGCACCUUUCCCUUCCUCCCAGAAGGAACCUUCAGCGGGCCACCUUUGAUAACAUUUGAGCACCGAGACCCAAAAGCCAGCCCCUGACCAGAAAUGAUGCAGAAAAGAUGGUGUUGGCCUUUCUCAUCUGCAUUCGUCCUACAUGCAUCUAUCCACUGACAGGAUCAAAUCACUUUGGACCAAGGCAGAUUUGAGCAUCCCGCAACAUGAGUCAAAGGUUGUGCCUGAAUUAUAUGGAAAAGCCUGAGCUCCAGCAAUUGACCCACAAGCAGCAGCUAAAAAGCUGUUACCUUCUGGAUCUGGUGAUUAUUGCAUCUCUUUAUUCCCCCUCUUUAUUUCCCAGAUUUCUCCAAGACCUGAGAAAUGUGUGCUGGAGGGAUUAAACCCAAAAUUCAUUGACUAAAACUGAGGCAGGGA